rnacentral:rRNA from 1 species
UCGAGUGGCGAACGGGUGAGUAACACGUGGGCAAUCUGCCCUGCACUUCGGGAUAAGCCUGGGAAACUGGGUCUAAUACCGGAUAGGACCUUUAGGCGCAUGUCUUUAGGUGGAAAGCUUUUGCGGUGUGGGAUGGGCCCGCGGCCUAUCAGCUUGUUGGUGGGGUGAUGGCCUACCAAGGCGACGACGGGUAGCCGGCCUGAGAGGGUGUCCGGCCACACUGGGACUGAGAUACGGCCCAGACUCCUACGGGAGGCAGCAGUGGGGAAUAUUGCACAAUGGGCGCAAGCCUGAUGCAGCGACGCCGCGUGGGGGAUGACGGCCUUCGGGUUGUAAACCUCUUUCACCAUCGACGAAGGUCCGGGUUUUCUCGGAUUGACGGUAGGUGGAGAAGAAGCACCGGCCAACUACGUGCCAGCAGCCGCGGUAAUACGUAGGGUGCGAGCGUUGUCCGGAAUUACUGGGCGUAAAGAGCUCGUAGGUGGUUUGUCGCGUUGUUCGUGAAAUCUCACGGCUUAACUGUGAGCGUGCGGGCGAUACGGGCAGACUAGAGUACUGCAGGGGAGACUGGAAUUCCUGGUGUAGCGGUGGAAUGCGCAGAUAUCAGGAGGAACACCGGUGGCGAAGGCGGGUCUCUGGGCAGUAACUGACGCUGAGGAGCGAAAGCGUGGGGAGCGAACAGGAUUAGAUACCCUGGUAGUCCACGCCGUAAACGGUGGGUACUAGGUGUGGGUUUCCUUCCUUGGGAUCCGUGCCGUAGCUAACGCAUUAAGUACCCCGCCUGGGGAGUACGGCCGCAAGGCUAAAACUCAAAGGAAUUGACGGGGGCCCGCACAAGCGGCGGAGCAUGUGGAUUAAUUCGAUGCAACGCGAAGAACCUUACCUGGGUUUGACAUGCACAGGACGCGUCUAGAGAUAGGCGUUCCCUUGUGGCCUGUGUGCAGGUGGUGCAUGGCUGUCGUCAGCUCGUGUCGUGAGAUGUUGGGUUAAGUCCCGCAACGAGCGCAACCCUUGUCUCAUGUUGCCAGCGGGUAAUGCCGGGGACUCGUGAGAGACUGCCGGGGUCAACUCGGAGGAAGGUGGGGAUGACGUCAAGUCAUCAUGCCCCUUAUGUCCAGGGCUUCACACAUGCUACAAUGGCCGGUACAAAGGGCUGCGAUGCCGCAAGGUUAAGCGAAUCCUUUUAAAGCCGGUCUCAGUUCGGAUUGGGGUCUGCAACUCGACCCCAUGAAGUCGGAGUCGCUAGUAAUCGCAGAUCAGCAACGCUGCGGUGAAUACGUUCCCGGGCCUUGUACACACCGCCCGUCACGUCAUGAAAGUCGGUAACACCCGAAGCCAGUGGCCUAACCC